rnacentral:lncRNA from 1 species
GAACUGGAGGGUGGCCGCAGCCGUGACUUCCUUGGGAACCGCGCUGCCUCGACUCGGCUACCUCUCUGCGAAGCACUCGCUAAGCCGGGCAGCCCCGGGGUCGCUUAGCGGCCCAGGAGGCGCCAGCGAUCCUGUUCCCCUGCAGAGCUAUGGGGACCGGAAGGCGAAACAGAGCUGUCGACGCGGGAGCAUACGCUGCCCACCAGUGGAGCGCAGGUAAAGAAAGAGCGCGCGAUUUCCCGGCGCGGAGAGGGGUGGGGGAAGCCCCACCAGGACUGGGCGGCGCCCGGCUUGGAGAAUCAGUAACUGCGAGGCAGGGGAUGGAGCACUCCCAUGGCCUGGUUGCGCUGAGAAAGGAGUUGUGGCUCAUCUGGAUGCUGCCGACUGGGUCAUCAAAGCCGAAUCCGAAUUUGAAUUCUGUGCGGCUGAUUGCAGAGCUGUCUUGAGGCCCUGAGGACUGGGAUCUGCGACCCCCAGUGGACAAAAGUCGACUCUACCCCAGAGGCUAAUUUUCUCAAGGCAGGCACCUGUUGAGAGGCUGCAAGUAAAAUACAGGGGAACGCUAGUUUCCGAGCUCAUGUAAGAAUCUGAGAAAUAACGGGGGUAAACUUUGACAAAGGGGUGUGUGAUUGAGACCUGAGGUCAUGAGAUUAAUGGGUUCUUAUUACCUCUUGCGGGGGGAGGUAGUAAAGGGGAGGGGCAGGUGGCCUGUGGCGUCCUGAAGAUUUUUCAUGCAUUCUUUUUCCGAGAACUAAACAUUGUCAACUCUAAUAUAUCUAUAGCGCAACUUGCUUCAAGGACAGUAAUAAUUUUCAUUUAAUAAUUUUCCAUUUAAUCCCUUUACUACAUGGUCAUUUCUGUCUCUUAUAUUCCUAGGUUUCCCUUUAUAAGGAUUAGUCAGAUCAACAUUAUAUCUCUAACAAUGUUCC